GGAGGUGGUGGACACGGAAGUAUGGGCACGUAUGGAGGUGGUGGACAUGGAAGUAUGGGCAUGCAAGGAGGUGGAAUGACAG